rnacentral:lncRNA from 1 species
AAGAGGCCGGCCUCCAAAUUCCUCAAGCCCGAGAGCGCCAUCCAUUUGAUCCCACUCGUCCUCUUCAUCUGCGCUUUGAUCCUCUGGGCGAGUAGCACAUCCGUCGUUCGCUAGCCAGGUAAGCGAUCUAAAAAGUUUUUCUAGCGCCAGGGAUCCAUCUCUCACGAGGAAUGCUCAUGUGUUCUUCUAGGGAGCGAUCCAUUAGCGUAAAUGUUUGACAUAAGAACGAAAGCGGCAGCGCUGUUCUCUUCCCGGAGCUUAUCAAAUGCCAGCUCUCCAACGCUCAGAUCGUUCCACUUCCACGACGCUCCCAG